UUCCUGUACUUGGUGUUACUGCGAAGGGGGGACGGAGAAGGCUAUGUUGGCCGGGCGACGGUUGUCCCGGUUUAAGCGUGUAGGCUGGUUUUCCAGGCAAAUCCGGAAAAUCAAGGCUGAGGCGUGAUGACGAGGCACUACGGUGCUGAAGCAACAAAUGCCCUGCUUCCAGGAAAAGCCUCUAAGCAUCAGGUAACAUCAAAUCGUACCCCAAACCGACACAGGUGGUCAGGUAGAGAAUACCAAGGCGCUUGAGAGAACUCGGGUGAAGGAACUAGGCAAAAUGGUGCCGUAACUUCGGGAGAAGGCACGC
rnacentral:rRNA from 2 species